CCUACGGGGGGCAGCAGUGGGGAAUAUUGCACAAUGGGGGAAACCCUGAUGCAGCGACGCCGCGUGAGUGAAGAAGUAAUUCGUUAUGUAAAGCUCUAUCAGCAGGGAAGAAAAUGACGGUACCUGAGUAAGAAUCCCCGGCUAACUACGUGCCAGCAGCCGCGGUAAUACGUAGGGGGCAAGCGUUAUCCGGAUUUACUGGUGGUAAAGGGAGCGUAGACGGCAGUGCAAGUCUGGAGUGAAAGGCGUGGGCUCAACCCACGGACUGCUCUGGAAACUGUACGGCUGGAGUGCAGGAGAGGUAAGUGGAAUUCCUAGUGUAGCGGUGAAAUGCGUAGAUAUUAGGAGGAACACCAGUGGCGAAGGCGGCUUACUGGACUGUAACUGACGUUGAGGCUCGAAAGCGUGGGGAGCAAACAGGAUUAGAUACCCCAGUAGUC
rnacentral:rRNA from 1 species